ensembl:lncRNA
CUUUCUUUCAAGGUUUUAAUAGCUUCUGUUAGUUCAUUUGCAUUGCUUGUUUGUUUAAGAUUCUGGAUAGAAUUCCACUCUUUAUAUGGUCAUUUGUGAGUUGAUUCUGUUAAUGGAAUAAUUCUUUUUGUAGGUUUUUUACAGGUGCCCAAAAAGUUCAUUCACGGAAGCAUGAUACAGAUUUUAUUCAUUCCUCUAUGUCUUGGUGUCAUACUCUACAUAAUUUUGAACUUCAAGCUUUCUUCAAGGGCAAAGAACAUCUUCUGCCUGAACGUUCCCACUCCAGCUGCUUUCUUCCAGCCUCUCUACACCUUGCACAAUGGGAAUUUUAAGGACUGGAUUGGACCUAAUGAGACAUGUGGGCAGCUCAGAAGAGAUGAUGCUAACAACCCAAGCAAAGUGACUGGCGAUGGAGUUCCUGGUCUAAGUGCUCAUGAUGUCAUUUCCCAGCUGUCCUUCAAGUCACUGGCAAAGACCGAAAUGAUUUCCCAAGAGGACCUUUCUGGCCCUGCCUCCAGGCCUGACCAGCAAUACCUCCAGAGCAGGUAUGUGAGUGUGGAAGAAGUGGAAGCCAGGCUGCCAUCAUUGUUCCCACAAAACCACGCUGAUGAUGCAGGUGCUAUGGACUUCUCUGAAACAAGCAAAACCAAUCUUGGCAGCCCAGACGUGAGUGGGAACCAUCCCCCAUAUUUAUGGGACGGUCAGGGUGACUUCUUUAUGCCACAGGAGUCUCUGGAGCUGGAAAGUUUGUCCUUCUGUAGUAAUGACUAUUGCACCUUGUCUGGCAGUGACUCCAUAGGUGGCCCAGUUCCUGCUGAACUGCUACAGCUCACCGAGAAGGAUGGUCAGGUCAAGCAUUAGAAUGACGAGAAUGACAGACUCUCACUGAAAGCUGCUGCAUGUCCAAGUUGCCAGGUCUGCCACAUCCACCAGCUGGCCCAUCUGACCCCCUUGUGCAGUUAGAGGUUCUGUUAACUUUGGGCCAGAUCUAGUAAUCCUUUCUUAAAAGCAAGUUAUGUCCAAUGCCUACACAGUUGGCCCAAAGAGGGCAGGCACAAGCAGCCCCCUUCCCUUGCUGCCUCCCUCACUGCAGGAGCUGAGCACAAUCAUGGUUUCUGUGACCAGGUGAGCCAGGUCUGUGCCAAGCUAGCAACACGCUAGGCUCCCCAAGAGAUGCUGGACCAUGCCUUUCCCCCACACCAGUAGCAGAACUCGUCCUGCACCCUCUGGAGGGAUGUAGCAGAAGGCACACCCUCCCUUUGUGCCUCCCUGAGGUCCAGUGGUUCCCAGAUUUCCCCUGGGGCAGAGCAGCACUGCACUGCCCCCAAAGCACCUCUCUAACUGCAGCUCUUACUAAUCAACACCCCCGUGACUUCAUAUUCUGUACCCCAGACAGAGCUCCUGCUUUGCUGCAAUCAGGGUGAAGUCAGACACUAACAGCAAAUGCAGCACCAGGCUUACAUGCAUUUCAAAUACGGUGUCACUCUUAGAAUACAUACGAUGCUUGAUGAAAAACAAUGUUCUUCCAGUGAUGGACACUAGUGAGAUGCUGCAUUUUCUGUUCAUUUUAAACUGCACCUGAGUUCACAGGCAUGCCUAGGUCCAAUAUGUUAAUAUCUUUACAUACUGUGUAUUGCUGUUUCCGAGCCUGGUAACUUUCUGGCUUACAUUAAACCCAGUGUGUUGCUUGUGACUUGAAAAGAUUUAUUUCAAAACAGACUGUGAGCUGCUGGGCUGAUUCACCAUCUGGGGAGGGUGGAAUCACACCCCAAAAAUGGGGCUCAGGCUUAUUUUAGGUAAUCCCAUUAUCCAGGCACUGCUGCUAAACAAGGAUUCUGCUUUGGGAGACCUUCGUUUUCCA